GACGAACGCUGGCGGCGUGCCUAAUACAUGCAAGUUGAGCGCUGAAGGUUGGUACUUGUACCAACUGGAUGAGCAGCGAACGGGUGAGUAACGCGUGGGGAAUCUGCCUUUGAGCGGGGGACAACAUUUGGAAACGAAUGCUAAUACCGCAUAAAAACUUUAAACACAAGUUUUAAGUUUGAAAGAUGCAAUUGCAUCACUCAAAGAUGAUCCCGCGUUGUAUUAGCUAGUUGGUGAGGUAAAGGCUCACCAAGGCGAUGAUACAUAGCCGACCUGAGAGGGUGAUCGGCCACAUUGGGACUGAGACACGGCCCAAACUCCUACGGGAGGCAGCAGUAGGGAAUCUUCGGCAAUGGACGAAAGGCUGACCGAGCAACGCCGCGUGAGUGAAGAAGGUUUUCGGAUCGUAAAACUCUGUUGGUAGGGAAGAACGUUGGUGGGAGUGGAAAGCUCAUCAAGUGACGGUAACUACCCAGAAAGGGACGGCUAACUACGUG
rnacentral:rRNA from 1 species